GCGGAGGGAUCAUUACAGAGUUUAACGACUCCCAAACCACUGUGAACAUACCCGUACCGUUGCCUCGGCGGGCGGCCCCAGGGCGGGGCCGCAGCCUCCCCAGCGGAGGCGCCCGCCGCAGGUCGCAAAACUAUACCUAUAAUUAGUGGCAUCUCUGAGUAACUUCCAAACAAUCAAAACUUUCAACAACGGAUCUCUUGGUUCUGGCAUCGAUGAAGAACGCAGCGAAAUGCGAUAAGUAAUGUGAAUUGCAGAAUUCAGUGAAUCAUCGAAUCUUUGAACGCACAUUGCGCCCGCCAGCAUUCUGGCGGGCAUGCCUGUCCGAGCGUCAUUUCAACCCUCAAGCCCUGCUUGGUGUUGGGGCACUACGCGCGAGCGUAGGCCCUCAAAAUCAGUGGCGGACCCGCUGGAGGUCCGGGCGUAGUAACACAUCUCGCCCGAGGUCCCCAGCGUGCCCCUGCCGUUAAACCCCCAAAUUUACAGAAGGUUGACCUCGGAUCAGGUAGGAAUACCCGCUGAACUUAAGCAUAUCAAUAAGCGGAGGAAAAGAAACCAACAGGGAUUGCCCUAGUAACGGCGAGUGAAGCGGCAACAGCUCGAAUUUGAAAUCUGGCCUCGGCCCGAGUUGUAAUCUGUAGAGGAUGCUUUUGGCGCGGUGCCUUCCGAGUGCCCUGGAACGGGACGCCACAGAGGGUGAGAGCCCCGUAUGGUCGGACACCAAGCCUGUGUAAAGCUCCUUCGACGAGUCGGGUAGCUUGGGAAUGCUGCUCUAAGUGGGAGGUAAACUUCUUCUAAAGCUAAAUACUGGCCAGAGACCGAUAGCGCACAAGUAGAGUGAUCGAAAGAUGAAAAGCACUUUGAAAAGAGGGUCAAAUAGUACGUGAAAUUGUUGAAAGGGAAGCGCUCAUGACCAGACUUGCGCCGGGCUGAUCAUCCAGUGGUCUCCACUGGUGCACUCUGCCCGGCUCAGGCCAGCGUCGGCUGUCACGGGGGGACAAAAGCACUGGGAAAGUAGCUCUCUCCGGGGAGUGUUAUAGCCCUAUGCAGAAUACCCCCGCGGCGGCCGAGGUCCGCGCUCUGCAAGGACGCUGGCGUAAUGGUCAUCAGCGACCCGUCUUGAAACACGGACCAAGGAGUCGAGGUUUUGCGCGAGUGUUCGGGUGCAAAGCCCCAGCGCGUAAUUAAAGUGAACGUAGGUGAGAGCUUCGGCGCAUCAUCGACCGAUCCUGAUGUAUUCGGAUGGAUUUGAGUAGGAGCGUAAAGCCUCGGACCCGAAAGAUGGUGAACUAUGCCUGUAUAGGGUGAAGCCAGAGGAAACUCUGGUGGAGGCUCGCAGCGGUUCUGACGUGCAAAUCGAUCGUCAAAUAUGGGCAUGGGGGCGAAAGACUAAUCGAACCAUCUAGUAGCUGGUUACCGCCGAAGUUUCCCUCAGGAUAGCAGUGUUGUUCUUCAGUUUUAUGAGGUAAAGCGAAUGAUUAGGGACUCGGGGGCGCUUAUUAGCCUCCAUCCAUUCUCAAACUUUAAAUAUGUAAGAAGCCCUUGUUACUUAGU
rnacentral:misc_RNA from 1 species